rnacentral:rRNA from 1 species
GACGAACGCUGGCGGCGUGCUUAACACAUGCAAGUCGAACGGAAAGGCCCUGCUUUUGUGGGGUGCUCGAGUGGCGAACGGGUGAGUAACACGUGAGUAACCUACCCUUGACUUUGGGAUAACUUCAGGCAACUGGGGCUAAUACCGGAUAGGAGCUCCUGCUGCAUGGUGGGGGUUGGAAAGUUUCGGCGGUUGGGGAUGGACUCGCGGCUUAUCAGCUUGUUGGUGGGGUAGUGGCUUACCAAGGCUUUGACGGGUAGCCGGCCUGAGAGGGUGACCGGCCACAUUGGGACUGAGAUACGGCCCAGACUCCUACGGGAGGCAGCAGUGGGGAAUAUUGCACAAUGGGCGGAAGCCUGAUGCAGCAACGCCGCGUGCGGGAUGACGGCCUUCGGGUUGUAAACCGCUUUCGCCUGUGACGAAGCGUGAGUGACGGUAAUGGGUAAAGAAGCACCGGCUAACUACGUG